rnacentral:rRNA from 1 species
AACGUAGGACGCAAGCGUUAUCCGGAGUUACUGGGCGUAAAGCGCGGGCAGGCGGCUCGUCAAGUGGGAUGUGAAAGCGCUCAGCUUAACUGGGCGAGGCCAUUCCAAACUGAUGGGCUGGAGGGCAGUAGAGGUAGGCGGAAUUCCCGGUGUAGCGGUGAAAUGCGUAGAGAUCGGGAGGAAGGCCGGUGGCGAAGGCGGCGCUCUGGAACAUUUCUGACGCUGAGGCUCGAAAGCGUGGGGAGCAAACAGG